rnacentral:rRNA from 1 species
CAAUAGCGUAUAUUAAAGUUGUUGCAGUUAAAAAGCUCGUAGUUGGAUUUCUGGUGGGAGCGAUCGGUCUGGCGCUUAGCGCGAGUACUUGCAUCGUCUCCGGCCAUCCUUGGGGAGAGUCUGUCUGGCAUUAGGUUGUCGGGCAGAGGAUCCUCAUCGUUUACUGUGAAAAAAUUAGAGUGUUCAAAGCAGGCUUAUGCCGUUGAAUAUAUUAGCAUGGAAUAAUAAGAUAGGCCUUUGGUACUAUUUUGUUGGUUUGCGCACCAAAGUAAUGAUUAAUAGGGACAGUUGGGGGUAUUCGUAUUCCGUUGUCAGAGGUGAAAUUCUUGGAUUUACGGAAGACGAACUACUGCGAAAGCAUUUACCAAGGAUGUUUUCAUUAA